rnacentral:rRNA from 1 species
AUACGGAGGGUGCAAGCGUUACUCGGAAUCACUGGGCGUAAAGCGCGCGCAGGCGGCUUGAUAAGUUGGAUGUGAAAGCCUACGGCUCAACCGUAGAACUGCAUCCAAAACUGUCAAGCGAGAGUCUGGGCGGGGAAGAUGGAAUUAGUUGUGUAGGGGUAAAAUCCGUAGAGAUAACUAGGAAUACCAAAAGCGAAGGCGAUCUUCUGGAACAGUACUGACGCUGAGGCGCGAAAGCGUGGGGAGCAAACAGGAUUAGAAACCCCAGUAGUCC